GUGGAUAUAGCUCAACGUAGAGCAACCCAGCAUGUGUCAGGUAAAUGUGGGAUCAAUUCCCCCUGUCCGCA
rnacentral:tRNA from 1 species